GAUGGUGUAGCUCAAAGGUAAGAGUAUGUGCUUAGCAUCUACAAGGCCCUGAGUUCUUUCUCCAGCACUAUCC
rnacentral:tRNA from 1 species